GCCUGCAUGAUUCCUCAUGGCCUAGGAUGCAGGCUUCAAACCUGUAGCUGUCUAGCAACCAAGUGGUUCAAUUCCAUGUUCCAGGUG